rnacentral:lncRNA from 1 species
CGGGCCUUGAUCGAUAGGUGACUGAAUGCCAACUGACACCUGGGGGCAUGGCUGGUGCGUUCCUGCAUCGCUACAGGAAGUGACUCCACCUUGAACCCUCUCUCACCCCCAGCGCACUUCCUGUUCUUGGACCUGGCGUCUCUGUCCUCCAUGUGCAGCUACGUCAAGAAAGGUGAGGGAGGGUCCUGGGGGCGGGAUGCAUGGGUGGGGCAGGGCAUAUACAGAGUAGCUCAUCUGUAGUCAGCGUUGGCCGGGUUUGCUCUGGUAUGCAAAUCACCUUGUGAAUAUUCAUGAUUGCGGUGGGUUGGUCUGUUCUGAUAUGCAAAUAUGUUCAUUAAUAUGCAUGGUUAUAGUACUAAGUUAAUAAUCAUGCCCUGCUUUAAUUAGGUAUACAAAUUGACACGGAAAUAUUCAUGGAAAUGUUGGUUUUAUUGGAUAUGCAAAUCAGGUCAUUAAUAUGCACGGAUCACCUCACCACGUUCUGGUAUGCAAAUAAGGUCGUGAAUAUUCAUAGAAAGAAUGAGCCAAGUUUCACAUCGAUGUGCAAAUCAGCUCCAUGAAUAUUCACAGCCAACACUCGUCUCUUAUGUGAGUCAGCGCUCAUUUACAUAUGCAAAUCAUCUCGAGGAUUCUCGGUGCCUACCAGCGCUUCCUGGUUAUGCAAAUCAGAACCUGCAAGAGGGUGCCUGGGCCUCACCGUACCCAGCGGCGUCACGGGAGCUGGAAGAGGUUGGAGGUCUCCACCUGUGGAAUGAGGUGGAGGCAGAAACAGAGCCGGGAUGGGGGGAGGGGCAG